UACGUAGGGGGCAAGCGUUGUCCGGAUUUAUUGGGCGUAAAGAGCUCGUAGGCGGUUCCGUAAGUCGUGAAGUCAAAUCUCUGGGCUCAACCCAGAAUCGCUUCCGAUACUGCGGUGACUGGAGUCCGGUAGGGGAGUGUGGAAUUCCUGGUGUAGCGGUGAAAUGCGCAGAUAUCAGGAGGAACACCAGCGGCGAAGGCGGCGCUCUGGGCCGGAACUGACGCUGAGGAGCGAAAGCGUGGGUAGCAAACAGG
rnacentral:rRNA from 1 species